rnacentral:rRNA from 1 species
AUACGGAGGGUGCAAGCGUUACUCGGAAUCACUGGGCGUAAAGCGCGCGCAGGCGGCCAUUUAAGUUGGAUGUGAAAGCCUACGGCUCAACCGUAGAACUGCAUCCAAAACUAUUUGGCUAGAGUGUGGGAGAGGAAGAUGGAAUUAGUUGUGUAGGGGUAAAAUCCGUAGAGAUAACUAGGAAUACCAAAAGCGAAGGCAAUCUUCUGGAACACUACUGACGCUGAGGCGCGAAAGCGUGGGGAGCAAACGGGAUUAGAAACCCCUGUAGUCC